GUGGGGAAUAUUGGACAAUGGGCGAAAGCCUGAUCCAGCCAUGCCGCGUGUGUGAAGAAGGUCUUCGGAUUGUAAAGCACUUUAAGUUGGGAGGAAGGGUAGUAACCUAAUACGUUGCUACUUUGACGUUACCGACAGAAUAAGCACCGGCUAACUUCGUGCCAGCAGCCGCGGUAAUACGAAGGGUGCAAGCGUUAAUCGGAAUUACUGGGCGUAAAGCGCGCGUAGGUGGUUCAGUAAGUUGGAAGUGAAAUCCCCGGGCUCAACCUGGGAAAUGCUUUCAAAACUGCUGAGCUAGAGUACGGUAGAGGGUGGUGGAAUUUCCUGUGUAGCGGUGAAAUGCGUAGAUAUAGGAAGGAACACCAGUGGCGAAGGCGACCACCUGGACUGAUACUGACACUGAGGUGCGAAAGCAUGGGGAGCAAACAGGAUUAGAAACCCUAGUAGUCC
rnacentral:rRNA from 1 species